AGUUCAGGCACUUUGCACAAAGCAUCAGAAUUCUAACUCUGGUCCCAACCACCACCUUUUGGGGCUGGUGUCAUAGGGUAGAGGAACAACCUUGAACAGGACCUUAAGCAGGGCACACCAAAGAAGGCAAAGACCAGAAAGUAAAGAAAACAGGACCCUGGAAUGGCAGCAUAGGAGGCACACUGCUCACACACUUCUCUCUGGAGGGAAAGGCAGAGAUGGAAAAGUGGAAGAUGUAAAGAGGAGAGAACAUAGGAGCAGCCUCAGACAGUGUUUGCCCCUCUCACUAGCACAGAUUAAGGUAUGUCUCCAAAAGAGGCAUUCAGUGGAAGUGGGCUCUUAGGUGCUGAGUUUCUUAAUAUAUCAUUCUUGAUUUGGGGGGCAGUGCCAGGGAAUGAAUGGAGAGGCACUUGGCCACUGAGCCACAACUCCAGCCCUAUUUUAUAUUUUAUUUAGAGACAGGUUCUCACUGAGUUGCUGAAACUGGCUUUGAACUCGUGAUCUUCCUGCCUCAGCCUCCCAGCUGCUGUGAAUAGAGGCAUGCGCCACCGUACCCUCCUAAUAUAUCAUUCUUUAGGCACCAUGCCAUCCUUGAGACUCAGAAGAGCCAGGGUUUUGCACCAGGUAUGGAGCCUGCAUAACUGAGCUCCUUGCUCUGUGUGGCAGGCCAUGAAUUAGACUCAGGUGCUCUGGCUGAGGCUUCCCGGGCUCGUUCAUGAAGUCAACCCUGCAGGUCUCUUGGUUCCCUCUUGGUACUUUGCCUGCUAUUUCAGUAGUUGCAACUUGAUAUCAGGGACUGAUCCUUGGGCCUUCCAAAGACAAAUUCAGGGCUCCUCCAGUAUCCAUGAUCUCCUGGAGUCAAGGAGGUCAGGGUUCUGUUCUCUGAUGAACUAAGCUUUCUGUCAGUAUGAAAAACUGAGCACACAAUGCACAGUGAACAAUGCAUUUUUUUUUCUUUUUUUAAAGAAUUCUAUUAAAGCACAAAAUUUAAUCAUUAGGGUAGUCAGGGUCCCAAAGCAGAGCAAUGGAGACUCAUCAGCAACCCCACCACUUGGUCAAUGCUCCAACCACCACUUGAUUUCACAAGGCAAAUGUCAGCUACUGCGGGCCUAGCAAAGCCCAGGAGAAAAGCAGCCUGUCUUAGUGUGUUCUGUGGUGUGAGUAGCACACAGUAAGCGAUUUGUAAAAAAAAAAAAAUUAUUACAAUUUUGGAGUCUGGGAGGUCCAAUAUCAAGGUGACAGCAUCUGGUGAGGCCUUCUUGCUGUUUCAUCCCAAUGCAAAAGGGCAGGGAGAGGGGAACCACUCCAAAAAUCCUUCCUGAGAGGGCAGAUCCUUUAGGGCCCACUGUCCUCUUAAAGUGCCCACCUCUUCAUGCUGUUACAGUGGCAAUUAACACCAGUUUUGGAGAGGACAAAUGUUAAAACUAUGACACAGCCCCGCACAGCUAAAGAGGUGAACUCUCACCACCCUGCUGGAUGCCUCCCAACAAAUUUGUAUGGUUUUAUUUUAGUUUGUUUGUUUGAGUUUUGACCAGAUUUUGAAGCUGUCCUCAGCUGGAGGGUUUAGAUUACCUCUAUUACUUUGUCGAGAAUAAACCUGGAUACUAAAGCUCACCAUCCACAGCAAACAAUGCAUUUUUUCUUUCUUUUUUUAAACCACCUCAGGAUCUGAAUGUAAAUUAAAGUGAAACUAGAUCACGAGUAACCUCUGGUACCUUCCCAAAGCACAUGUAAAUUCUCUCUGAAGAAAGUGAACAUAACCCAACAAAUAUUGCUGGGAAAACUGAAAACCCAUAUGCAGCAAAAUGAAACUAAACUCAAAGUGGAUCAAGGACCUAUGGAUUAGACCAGAGACCCUGCACAUAAUAGAAGAAAAAGGAGGCCGGAAUCUUCAUGAUGUCAGAUUAGGCCCCAGCUUCCUUAAUAAGAUUCCUAAAACACAAGAAAUAAAAUCAAGAAUCAAUAAAUGGAAUGGAUUCAAACUAAAAGGCUUCUUCUCAGCAAAAGAAUGAGGUGAAGAGAGAGCCUACGUCUUGGGAGCAAAUUUUUGCCACAUGCAUGUCAGAGCACUGAUCUCCAGGAUAUAUAAAGAACUCAAAAAGCUUAACAACAGGGCUGGGGAUGUGCUCAAGCGGUAGCGCGCUCGCCUGGCAUGCGUGCGGCCCGGGUUCGAUCCUCAGCACCACAUACAAACAAAGAUGUUGUGUCCGCCGAAAAC
rnacentral:lncRNA from 1 species